UAGGAAGGUGUCCUUAAUGUUUUGUACACUCACUGUAUGUUAUACUUAUGAUAAAUAACAUGAUGUGACUGACCUGCUUUCAGGUGGACUCAGAGCUGGCUCCCUUCAGUAGUGUUUUUCAAAGAUACACAGGAAGAUGUCAGGACCCAUACUCCGAUGCUGUGGACGCCACACAGAAAGAGGUUGUGUGUGUGUGUGUGUGUGUGAGAGGGGGGGAGGGAAUCUGAACUGAUCUAAUGACUCUGUGAUGUGAAUCCUCUCCAGUUGCAGUGCUGUGGAAUCUAUGACUACCGUGACUGGUUGGCCACGCCCUGGUUUAACCACAGUGGGCGGGGCAGUGUACCUCACAGCUGCUGUAAUUACACCUACCACACCUGCAACGGUACCCUGGAGCUGCCCGGGCUACUAUAUCCAAAGGUAUACACACAUACACACACCAGCCCUGGCCCUCUGUAGUGAUCCAAAGGGCUGCCAGGUGAAGCUGGAGGAGGCCUUGCUUUUUGUUCUGCAUCUCAUCAUCUGGUCAUCUCUGGCAGUGGCGCUAGUGGAGACUGUAGGGUUUGUGAGUGUGGCUCAGCUGAUGAGGGAACAGCCUCUGUUGGAGUAUGGAAUACUGGACAGGGAGUAUGGAAUACUGGACAGGGAGUGGGCCUGAACCAGAACCAGAGUCUCGGUCCAGAAUACUUUCUGCCAAUCUACUUUAGAUAUACUAUGUCCUGGACCUUGGUAAAGUUAAUGAUGCUGUGGACCUUAAAGGCCCAGUGCAGUCAAAUGUGUUUUUUCUUUUUUCUCCAGUGUUUUUAUAUCAUAUUUCCACACUGAGGUUGGAAGACUACUAUGGAAUUGUGAAAAUGCUGAUAAUGCCCUCUUAGUGUAAGCGCUGUUUGAAGACUGCUCUCUAGUGGUGUGUGUGGUUCUAGUUGCCUGGGCAGCUCAAGGGCCCCUAGGGUACCAUUACAGGUAAUUGACGUAAUCAUCCCCAGUCUUGUUGGUGAAGCUACUUUAAAAGAGUGAUUAUCUUGCUUCCACUAAACUAAUGUAUACACAUCUGUGAAGGAAGAUGUACUCUAAAAGUGUCCUACACUUCUGCAUACACUUCCCUCGUUUCAUAAGGAUCAACUGGAAUAUGUAAUGGCCACAAUGUUUUGUUUUUGUUCACUGAUGUAGAUUCAUGCUUGUUAAAGAAACCACUCAAUUGUUUUUGAUGGUCAACAUGUCACAUGUCCUGCAGAUGACAUAUUUAAUGACAUUUUGACACUGCCCUGCAUGUCUUUUGAGUAAUUAACUUGUUGAAACUGUUGUGUGGCUAUUGUUUGAUUGUAACUUACCCCUAUGUAGCUGGGUGAUUCUGCAAUUUAGGGCACUUUGGCCCUGCAAGCUUUCAGAAAUGAAAAGUUAUUGAAACACCAUUUUACCAGUAUUAUAAUUCUUUGAUUUGUCUAGAAAAUAUCUGAUAAUGGCUGCUAUCGUCCUAUUCGGGAAUGUACAUAUUUUUCUCAGACAGCCAUAGACGCAUUUUAUUUCCAUCACUAAACAUCCAUUUUUGUUAAAAAUGAAGUAAUUAAUUUAACACAUUUCUUAUACAUUUGUGUAUUGAGUAUUUUAAGAGAUUUACGGUUUUCCUAAUAUGAAUAAUUCAACAUGACGCCUGAAAUUUAUAGACUUGCCUUUGUGACAGCUGGAAAAAGAUAAUAAAAAUAAGAUAUUUCCGCCCAACCUUUUUUUUUGAGAUGAUGAUCAUUUCCCUAUAUAAAACAAAUCACUAAGUUAUACAUAAUAUACUAAUGUACCUAAAAAAUAUAUGGGUGUGGGGGGAAUGACAAGGUGUGGUGGACAUUAAGUAAAAACCUGAUUUAAAAACGAAUAUUUUAUUGAAAACAUUUUGAAUAACAACCAUUGUUCAACAUUUUAUAAGACACAGUAACAUUCCAAAAGUAGC
ensembl:lncRNA